CAGCCGCCGCGGUAAUACGUAGGGUGCGAGCGUUAAUCGGAAUUACUGGGCGUAAAGCGUGCGCAGGCGGUUCGUUAAGACAGAUGUGAAAUCCCCGGGCUUAACCUGGGAACUGCAUUUGUGACUGGCGAGCUAGAGUAUGGCAGAGGGGGGUAGAAUUCCACGUGUAGCAGUGAAAUGCGUAGAGAUGUGGAGGAAUACCGAUGGCGAAGGCAGCCCCCUGGGCCAAUACUGACGCUCAUGCACGAAAGCGUGGGGAGCAAACAGGAUUAGAUACCCGUGUAGUCCCUGUCUCUUAUCC
rnacentral:rRNA from 1 species